CUCCUACGGGAGGCAGCAGUAGGGAAUUUUCGACAAUGGGGGAAACCCUGAUCGAGCAACGCCGCGUGAAUGAUUAGAUACCUAAGGUAUAUAAAAUUCUUUUAUUUGGGAAGAAACAGCUGUGGAAAAACAGCUCUGACGGUACCUUUUGAAUAAGCUCCGGCUAACUAUGUGCCAGCAGCCGCGGUAAUACAUAGGGAGCGAGCGUUAUCCGGAUUUAUUGGGCGUAAAGGGUGCGUAGACGGUUUAACAAGUCUUUGGUUUAAGUGCAAGGCUCAACCUUGUGAUGCUUUAGAAACUGUUAGACUCGAGAGAGAUAGAGGUAAGUGGAAUUCCUUGUGUAGUGGUAAAAUGCACAGAUAUAAGGAGGAACACCAGUGGCGAAGGCGGCUUACUAGGUCUUUUCUGACGUUGRGGCACGAAAGCGUGGGGAGCAAACAGGAUUAGAUACCCUGGUAGUCCACGCCGUAAACGAUGAGUACUAGAUGUUGGAUAUAUUCAGCGUCGUAGUUAACACGAUAAGUACUCCGCCUGAGUAGUACGUGCGCAAGCAUGAAACUCAAAGGAAUUGACGGGACCCUGCACAAGCGGUGGAUCAUGUUGUUUAAUUCGUCGAUACCCGAAAAACCUUACCAAGCCUUGACAUAUAACUAUUUAAAGCUGUGGAAACACAGUGGCCGAAAGGAAGUUAUACAGGUGGYGCAUGGUUGUCGUCAGCUCGUGUCGUGAGAUGUUAGGUUAAGUCCUGCAACGAGCGCAACCCUCGUGUUUAGUUGCUACAUUAAGGUGAGCACUCUAAACAGACUGCUCGGGUUAACCGAGAGGAAGGUGGGGAUGACGUCAAAUCAUCAUGCCCCUUAAGGCUUGGGCUACAAACGUGAUACAAUGGCUACUACAAAGAGAUGCAAUAUAGCAAUAUGGAGCGGAUCUCAAAAAGUAGUCUCAGUUCAGAUUGGAGUCUGCAACUCGACUCCAUGAAGUCGGAAUCGCUAGUAAUCGCAAAUCAGAAUGUUGCGGUGAAAUACGUUUCUCAGGGUUUGUACACACCGCCCCGUCACGCCAUGAAAGUCCCGCC
rnacentral:rRNA from 1 species